rnacentral:lncRNA from 1 species
AGUUCUGAUAUUUUGUUGAAAUCCAUUGUUUUACUCUUUGCAUAUUUGUUGGCUCUUUGCAUAUUAAUAUAUUAGACUACAUGCAAAUACAGUCUGUCUUGCCAUUGUCUGUUGAAGUGCAGGUUUGAUCCAGCCAGUAUAGAACUAGCUCUGUAGGGGUGAGGAGGACUGUGCUGUGUAUCAUCCUUGAUUGUGUUCCUUCAAGGAGCAUUGCACUGUAAGUACAUCAGAAUGACAAAUUGAUGAACUGCAACAGUAUCUUUUUGUCAAUGUUCCACAUAAUGCAAAUGCCAUACGUUGUGUGAAUAUUAUGUUGGAAUACAGUGCUGAUAUCUUGGAAAACCAUAACUGCCUCUUAAUUUAACAUAGAAUAAUACAUAGUUCUGUAUUUUUUUUAAAGUGAGCUUAAUGGGUAAGUAUUUUUUAUAUGCUUUAGCUAUAGCUAAAGAAAACUGAUACUUAACAAAGUUGAAUAGUAUUAUUCACUGGUGCUCCUAAAAUAUUGUUUUUCAGUGUAAAAUAUGCAUAUCUUCUAUAUUUAAUAUGAAAGUCUUGAAAUGUAUCAGACAGAAGGGGAUUUCAGUUUGCAAAUAAUGAGCAAUGUAGCAAUUUUAACACAUUUCAUAAAUAUAUAUUUUGUCAUUGGUGGAGAGCACCAUUUGUUGUUUUGAAUAUACUUUAAAGGAAGAGGUACAAGGACAUAAAUGUUGAGAUUACCUACAGGAUGGAAAUAGCAGUACAGUUCAUUGUAGAUAUUUUGAAAUGUUUUUGAUUGUUUUAUAUAACCUAGAGUGACUUCCCUUACCCUUAUUUAGAUCUGCAUAUAUAGUUCUAGUAUGAAGUUUAAUAGUUAAGGAGUUAGCUAUUUGUUAUCUUUAAGAGUAGGGUAUUGACGUGAACAAUUGCAGUAUUUUGCAUGAUACUGUUUUAUAGAUGACCUUUUAGGAAAGUGGUGCAUUUAUUAAUUGAACUGAAGAAGUAGUUCAGUUGAAUUCAGUAUCAUAAUUCACAAAUUGGAGGCUGUUGAUUUUGAUUCAUUUAAGGUUUAAAAUCUUUAUUAAUUGCAAACAGUGCAAUUAUUUAUACUUCACAGUGCCUUCCCAGACCUUCCACCUUAGGUUCUGCUGCAAAAAGCACCAGUGCUGAAGAUGCUGCAAGCACCAAAUCAUAGCUCAUAAAAUCAGGUCCUGAGAUAGUUACCCAUAAAGAGGAAUCCUUUGAGUGUAUGCCAUUGGUGAGCCGAUGAGCAUGGACCAUAGAAGGGCUCAAUGUAGAAGGUAAAAUUGGCAAAUCAUAAUUGAGAAAUAUGAAAUGUAUUCCCAUACAUAAUAUGGUAUAGGGUGUAAUGUACCUGCUUUUGAUCACUUUUCAUUUUAAAGUGCUAUUCACUUGAUCUUAAAUGUUCCAUGAACUGUUAAAUUUCUUAAGUUACAUAGUUACUACACCACAUUUAUGUGUAUGUUAUGUUUUAAUAGUCAAUGAUAGGUAUGUACAAUUGAUAAUAUAAAGGGGCUCAUUGAAACUUGAGAGCCUGUUGAGUUUUGGUUAGUUGUAGAUUGCAUUUUUAUAAAAAAAAAUACAGAUAGAUUGAUGAUAAUAGAUAUUGGGGCAUUGUUUCUGUCUCAUGAGAAUUCUUUUAUUCAUUACCAUAAGCCUUCACUGAUACUAUAAGCAUUAUUUUAAAUGACGCUGAUCUUAAGUCUGAAAUAAAUGGAAAGCAGAAAAGGUGAGCCAGUUGAUUUGAAUGCAUUGGAUAUUAGUGUUAGAAACAAUGUAUAGUUUAGAUUGAAACUGAACUGACUUAUUUAGCACUUAAACAAAAAUUUGACAAUGUUUUUAGUUUUUUUUAAGACAGCUUAGUGUGGU